rnacentral:rRNA from 1 species
CCUACAUGAAGCUGGAGUUACUAGUAAUCGCAGAUCAGAAUGCUGCGGUGAAUGCGUUCCCGGGUCUUGUACACACCGCCCGUCACACCACGGGAGUUGGGGACGCCCGAAGCCGAUUAUCUAACCUUUUGGAAGAAGUCGUCGAAGGUGGAAUCAAUAACUGGGGUGAAGUCGUAACAAGGUAGCCGUAUCGGAAGGUGCGGCUGGAUCACCUCCUUUCUAAGGAGA